rnacentral:rRNA from 1 species
UACGUAGGGUGCGAGCGUUGUCCGGAAUUACUGGGCGUAAAGAGCUCGUAGGUGGUUUGUCGCGUUGUCCGUGAAAACUCACAACUCAAUUGUGGGCGUGCGGGCGAUACGGGCAGACUGGAGUACUGCAGGGGAGACCGGAAUUCCUGGUGUAGCGGUGGAAUGCGCAGAUAUCAGGAGGAACACCGGUGGCGAAGGCGGGUCUCUGGGCAGUAACUGACGCUGAGGAGCGAAAGCGUGGGGAGCAAACAGG